rnacentral:rRNA from 1 species
CACGGGGGGUGCAAGCGUUGUUCGGAAUCACUGGGCGUAAAGGGCGUGUAGGCGGUCAGAUAAGUGGAAUGUGAAAUGCCCCGGCUCACCCGGGGACCGGCAUCCCAAACUGUCUGGCUUGAGUAUGGGAGAGGAUGAGGGAAUUCCUGGUGUAGCGGUGAAAUGCGUAGAUAUCAGGAGGAACACCGGUGGCGAAGGCGCUCAUCUGGCCCAAUACUGACGCUGAUGCGCGAAAGCUAGGGGAGCAAACGGG